UUUCCGGUUGAUCCUGCCGGACCUGACUGCUAUCGGAUUGAUACUAAGCCAUGCGAGUCUUUGUAGUAAUACAAGGCAUACGGUUCAGUAACGCGUAGUCAACCUACCCUAUGGACAAGAAUAAUCUCGGGAAACUGAGCAUAAUUCUUGAUAGAUCAUAAUGCCUGGAAUGGUAUAUGGUUAAAAUGAUUCGUCGCCAUAGGAUGGGACUGCGGCUUAUCAGCUUGUUGGUGAGGUAAUGGCCCACCAAGGCGAUUACAGGUACGGGCUCUGAGAGGAGAAGCCCGGAGAUGGGUACUGAGACAAGGACCCAGGCCCUAUGGGGCGCAGCAGGCGAGAAAACUUUGCAAUGUGCGAAAGCACGACAAGGUUAGUCCGAGUGAUUUCUGCUAAAGAGAUCUUUUGCUAGUUAUAAAACCACUAGUGAAUAAGGGGUGGGCAAGUUCUGGUGUCAGCCGCCGCGGUAAAACCAGCACCUCAAGUGGUCAGGAUGAUUAUUGGGCCUAAAGCAUCCGUAGCCGGCUCUGUAAGUUUUCGGUUAAAUCUAUGCGCUCAACGUAUGGGCUGCCGAAAAUACUGCAGAGAUAGGGAGUGGGAGAGGUAGACGGUACUCGGUAGGAAGGGGUAAAAUCCUUUGAUCUAUCGAUGACCACCUGUGGCGAAGGCGGUCUACCAGAACACGUUCGACGGUGAGGGAUGAAAGCUGGGGGAGCAAACCGGAUUAGAUACCCGGGUAGUCCCAGCCGUAAACGAUGCAGACUCGAUGAUGCAUUGGCAUAUAGCCAGUGCAGUGUCGCAGGGAAGCCGUUAAGUCUGCCGCCUGGGAAGUACGUACGCAAGUAUGAAACUUAAAGGAAUUGGCGGGGGAGCACCACAAGGGGUGAAGCCUGCGGUUCAAUUGGAGUCAACGCCGGGA
rnacentral:rRNA from 1 species